GAUGAACGCUAGCGACAGGCCUAACACAUGCAAGUCGAGGGGCAGCACGAUGUAGCAAUACGUUGGUGGCGACCGGCGCACGGGUGAGUAACACGUAUGUAACCUACCCUGUACAGGGGGAUAACCCGGAGAAAUUCGGACUAAUACUCCAUGGAGAUAUACUGGGGCAUCCUGGUAUAUUUAAAGCUUCGGUGGUACGGGAUGGGCAUGCGGAACAUUAGCUAGUUGGCAGGGUAACGGCCUACCAAGGCUACGAUGUUUAGGGGUCCUGAGAGGGUGGUCCCCCACACUGGUACUGAGACACGGACCAGACUCCUACGGGAGGCAGCAGUGAGGAAUAUUGGUCAAUGGGCGCAAGCCUGAACCAGCCAUCCCGCGUGCAGGAAGACGGCCCUAUGGGUUGUAAACUGCUUUUCCAGGGAGAGAAACUUACGCACGUGUUGCGUGACUGACGGUACCCUGGGAAUAAGCAUCGGCUAACUCCGUGCCAGCAGGCCGGGUAAGCACG
rnacentral:rRNA from 1 species